rnacentral:tRNA from 1 species
AGGCCAUUAGUUCAGUGGUUAGAGCCUCCGGCUCAUAACCGGAUAGUCCUCAGUUCGAAUCUGAGAUGGCCUACCA